GGGCCCGUAUCCCAGCAGGCUAGAGGACGCCGCCUUAGAAGCGGUGCGUCGUGGGUUCAAGUCCCACCGGGCCCAC
rnacentral:tRNA from 1 species